CUUCUUGAGGCCCCCCUUCCAUGCAAGCUUAAGGCAUUCAAGACCAAAGAUGCACUAGAUCCCAGCAUUGAAGACCCCUCUCAGGCUGAAGAUGGUCCCACUUAGAAGCUUAGGCUCUGGUCUAUUAGGAAAACCUCUGAUACAAUCCCAUACCAGAUGCAGAUUGCCUUUGCAUGGACCUGGGUAUUAAUCCAGCAAAGAAGAAGAUCGAAGAAAAUAGAAGCAAAAUUAUGAUAGGCGGCAACCUUAGUAGAUGCUAGGAUUUGACAUUGGAACUAGAGAGAGAGAG
rnacentral:lncRNA from 1 species